UCCCUCUCAGGAUCGCACCUGGAGAGUUUUCUGUACUCUACCAGUCUCGGCUACAAGAGGCAAAGUCAAGCAGAGACCUACCCAUUCUAUUCCUAGCCUGGCCAGUGGCAAGCGAGUGGAAGGCAAUCUGCUACAAGU